AUGUCUGUUGAUGUUGUGCAAGGUGAUCAUAGGAAGCAGUAUCUGAGGUUGAGGGACUACCUACAAUGUGUGCUUGACACAAACCCCGGAAGCAGGUGCAUAGUGACAACUUUUGAGGAUCCUUUGAACCCAGCCCCCACACUAAGGUUCAAGAACAUGUUCUAUUGCCUCCAGGCAUCAAAAGAUGGAUUUCUUGCUGGUUGACUUGGUGGUUGCUUCAUCAAGUUAUCCACAGGCCAGCAGAUAUUGGCAGCAACUGGGAGAGAUGGGAACAACAAUGGGUUCCCAAUUGAUUUUGGGGUGGUUGACAAAGAGGAUGGGCCUAGCUGGACCUGGUUUCUAAACCAACUUAGAGUCUGCACUCGCACCAACAACCAGUUUGAGAACUACACCAUCAUGUUUGACAGGCAGAAGGGCCUUCUUAAAGCAAUUAAUGAAGUAUUUCCUCAAUCCCCACAAAGAUAUUGCCUAAGACACAUAUAUGCCAACUUCCAGUCAGCUGACUUUAGAGCAGAAGAACUUAAGAAAUGGAUUGACAAAGCUAGCUAUUCCUUCACUGAACAUGGUCACAAAGAAGGAAUGGCAGGUUUGAAAGCAGCAUGUGAACCAUCCUACAUGUGGUUGAAUGACAUCCCUAAGGAGUGUUGGACUAGAUAUGCAAUGGAUCAUGUGUGCAAGACUGACUUGGAAAACAGGGCAUCCUACCCAGCAACUUCAGCACCAACCAGGCCACCUCCAGCUAGGGCCACAUCAUCAGGUCCAGCUCCAGCUUCAGGACCUACUCCAGCUUCAGGUCCUGCUCCAGCUUCAGGACCUGCUCCAGCUUCAGGACCAGUUAGGGGCAGGAAACUAGCAACAACUUCAACAAGGGCAACCACAUCUGGUACUGCAGUUUCAAUAGGUGGAUCAAGAAAGAGAAAGAACCCAGCACCUGCUUCAGCACCAGUCAACAACACCAGGUCAAGUGCAUCAUCUCCAUCAAAGAACACCAGAUCAUCAAGAGUUGCAAGAGGUUUCAAUGCUCCAAGGGCAGCAUCAACAUUAGGUCAAGCUGAUGUUGGUUCUAAGGGGAAGAGGAAGGCCCCAAGAAAAUUUGCUUUGUAUUUCACAGCCAAUGGAAACCAUUGA
rnacentral:rRNA from 1 species